GUAUCCUUCCCGGAACUUUCGGAAGCCUUUGUAGCCUGAAAAGGUCCCACGACUAUAAAUAUAGGGUGCAAGUAGCCUAGAGCUGCAACAUAAUCGAAUUGCGGGGAUAUCCUAAAGCCUAACGGUACCAACUCUCCGGGGAAACUCGGGGAGGGCCUGUGCUAGACGUACAGGGUGGUCAUAACCCGUAGGAUACUACAAUGGAUGAUCUGCAGCGGAGUCCCUCCCGGCGGAAGCCAUGGGAAACGUUCACAGACUAAGUGAUUGUGGGUAGGGCGUGCCCCCUGCUUAAGAUAUAGUCGGCUCUCAGUGGAAACGCUGAGAAUUAUAGCGUUCCGUAGGUGAACCUGCGGAAGGAUCAUUACAGAGUUCCAUGCCCUUCGGGGUAGACCUCCCACCCUUGUGUAUUAUAACAAAUUGUUGCCUUGGCGGGCUGCGGCUCUGCUGCCCGGGACUCGUCCCGGUAUGCCCGCCGAAGGACCCCUAAACUCUGUUUAUUAGUGUCGUCUGAGUACUAUAUAAUAGUUAAAACUUUCAACAACGGAUCUCUUGGUUCUGGCAUCGAUGAAGAACGCAGCGAAAUGCGAUAAGUAAUGUGAAUUGCAGAAUUCAGUGAAUCAUCGAAUCUUUGAACGCACAUUGCGCCCCUUGGUAUUCCGGGGGGCAUGCCUGUUCGAGCGUCAUUAUGACCAAUCUAGCCUGGCUAGGUAUUGGGCUUCGCGGUUCCGCGGGCCUUAAAACCAGUGGCGGUGCUCUCAGGCUCUACGCGUAGUAACUUUCUCGCUUUGGAGCCCUGGGGGAUGCUUGCCAUCAACCUCAACUUUCUUAGGUGACCUCGGAUCA
rnacentral:sRNA from 2 species